rnacentral:lncRNA from 1 species
GCCGGUCAUAUCUGACAACUUCGUCGAAUUUUGUCUACACUGGUUCCACGACUCUUUAUUUACAUACAGAUACAGAUACUGGAGGGUAAAAUUUCUACCGUAAACCAGUCGCUAUAUAUAGUCAACUCGGCCUAAGAUUACUCGGCCCAUAAAGUAAGAAUGCACCACGUUUCAAGAUAACCCGUUUUGAAAUAAACAUUAAUUAUACUGCAUAUACAUUUUGGUUUUAUUAUAUUUUAUUAAUAAUCACAUCAGAGAUCCUGAUAAAUCGUGUGCAUAGUUUAGCCUUAUCUAUUACAUAGUCGUCGCGUAAAUAGUUUAAAUUGGAAAUGUCCUUUCGUUCUUAAAAUAGAGCAUUGAAAGGUUCCCUGUUGAAAUUUUCCUUUACUCCAAAGGUACACGUGGUGAUGAAAACUUUUCGAUCUUCUCUGUCUUUAUAGAAUUAGCGUUUGUCAUGUCGUCAUAAUUCUUUUCGUAUUGCUCGGGAUUUAUCAUUACAGUUGCAAUGGACUGAAACGAAAGUAAAUUUCCGGUAAUAAUAUUAAAUGUGAUUAGCUUCAUUUUGAGAGCUGAGGGGUGAUGAUGAUAACAAGACUAAGCCAUUGGUAUCAGAAAGCGUCCAUUGCACGUACCGGGAUGUAUGCAUGUCAUAAUGCAUUAACGAGAACAGGGUUAAAACUCGUCAUGAGACAAAUCAGUUGGAACAUGAAGACUCAGCAUCAGAAACCAAAAGUAAAAUAGGGGACAAGUCAACUUAUUUAUGUAAAUAAAAUUAAACAAAAACAUUCGUUUUUUUUAAUUUGAUUAUUUUAGUUGAUGAGUUUUUUGUAAGCCAAAAAAGUGUCCCAUGAAAUUGUGUCUUCUGUGAAAUUUCGUUCACGGGACAGAAUAACACAUUUUUAAAUUGAAAUUUAAAUCAGGACAACAGAGAUGUAAACAAAAAUGGAAAGGUGAAUAUAAACAGCUAUAUGACUUUUUGUGUGAUGGUCAAUACCCUCUAGAGUUUGAUAUUAUAAUAAUGAAAGAAGAUCAUUUAGAAGGAAGGCCAAGCAAUUUGAAAUUAAAAACAAUGAAAUGUUUUAUAUACAUGUUGACAAAAAAAAACAAAAACCUGGAGAAAACAUUCAAACUUGUUAUUCAUAAAGACAAACUGAAACAAGUAUUGUACCUAUGCCAUAACGAGAGUGGAUGCAAUCUUGGGGUUAAUGAGACCUCUUGUUAAAAAAUGACAAUAAAAAAAAU